UCGCGGAAACAAAAGCGCAAGAAGACCUGAAUUAUUUAGACAAGUACAGGAGUCUUUCAGUUUUAAAAUAGUUUGUAAAUCCUGAAGUGUCCUCACUGACAUGAAUUAUCUUGUCAGUCUAUAUAUAAAUCAAGGCACCAGCUGCUUCCAUCUUCCAUCCAUGUAGCAUUUUGGCAUAGGACACACGUGAAAUGAGGGCUCCUGUGUCUCUCUGCUAUUUGACGACAUGGAAAUGCCGGCUAAGAGGCUCUGGGGUGGCUCCUGGAUCCUAGGCCAGGGAAGAGCUGGGGCACGUGCUGCAUGGGAUGCUGGUCCAUCACAGGACAGGGACAAGAUGAAAGGACAGAUGAAAAUGAAGAAUGUAUCCUGAGAAGACGCCAAUGAAUGCUGAGAAUGUUUG